rnacentral:rRNA from 1 species
AGCAUGUGGUUUAAUUCGAAGCAACGCGAAGAACCUUACCAGGUCUUGACAUCCUCUGACAAUCCUAGAGAUAGGACGUCCCCUUCGGGGGCAGAGUGACAGGUGGUGCAUGGUUGUCGUCAGCUCGUGUCGUGAGAUGUUGGGUUAAGUCCCGCAACGAGCGCAACCCUUGAUCUUAGUUGCCAGCAUUCAGUUGGGCACUCUAAGGUGACUGCCGGUGACAAACCGGAGGAAGGUGGGGAUGACGUCAAAUCAUCAUGCCCCUUAUGACCUGGGCUACACACGUGCUACAAUGGACAGAACAAAGGGUAGCGAAACCGCGAGGUUAAGCCAAUCCCACAAAUCUGUUCUCAGUUCGGAUCGCAGUCUGCAACUCGACUGCGUGAAGCUGGAAUCGCUAGUAAUCGCGGAUCAGCAUGCCGCGGUGAAUACGUUCCCGGGCCUUGUACACACCGCCCGUCACACCACGAGAGUUUGUAACACCCGAAGUCGGUGAGGUAACCUUUUAG